AUGAUGCUCAAUGGUGCCCUCUUCUUGCUCGUCUGCGCGGCUGCUCGAGCUGCCGCUUCGGGCGGAGACGGCCCGCUGCUGAACGGGAACUUCGAGUACGCGCCCAACAGGUCCCAGAUGAACGGAACGAGGGUGAUGGCGCCGAACGCGAUCCCGUACUGGAAGGUCACCGGGUUCGUGGAGUACAUCGAGUCCGGCGCGAGGCAGGGCGACAUGGUCCUGACGGUGCCCGAAGGCCGGCACGCCGUGCAGCUGGGCACCGAGUCCUCCAUCCGGCAGCAGCUCAGCGUGACGCGGGGCAAGUACUACUCCAUCACAUUCAGCGCCGCGCGCACCUGCGCCCAGUCCGAGAGGCUGAAGGUGUCGGUCGUCCCCGGCGACGACGACGUGGCCGACGAGCUCCCCAUCCAGACGGUGUACACCAGCAGCGGCUGGGACUCCUACUCCUGGGCAUUCAAGGCCAAGCAGGGCGUCGUGUCGUUCAUCAUCCACCACGGGGACGACCAUGCGGAGGAUCCCGCGUGCGGUCCCAUCAUCGACUGCGUCGCCAUUAGAGCGCUCAACCCUCCUCGCGCCACACCCCACAACAUGCUGAUAAAUGGGGACUUCGAGGAGGGGCCGUACAUCACCCCCGGCUCGCCGUGGGGGGUCCUGGUGCCGCCCAUGGACGAAGACGACACCUCGCCGCUGCCGGGCUGGAUGGUCAUGUCCUACUCCAAGGUGGUCAAGUACAUCGACUCGGCGCACUUCCGGGUGCCGCAUGGCGCCCGCGCCGUGGAGCUGGUGGCCGGCUUGGAGGUCGCGCUGGUCCAGGAGGUGGCCACCGUCCCCGGCAGCUCGUGCAGGCUGCAGUUCUCGGUGGGCGACGCGGCCAACGGGUGCGCGGCGUCGCCCAUGCGCGUGCAGGUGGCCACGGCGCGCGGGAGCAAGAGCGUGCCGUACAACUCGAAGGGCACGGGCGGGUACACGCGCGACGCGCUCGACUUCACGGCGGACGGCAACAGCACGCGGGUGGUGUUCUACAGCUCGGGCUACCACACGACGUCCGACGGCAGCGGCACGCUCUGCGGGCCCGUCGUCGACGACGUCUCGCUCGUCUGCGUUUCACGCCCGCAUGCUCGCCGGUUGCUCCGCUGA
rnacentral:rRNA from 1 species